AAGAGUUGCAACAACUCCAACCCAUUGUUAACCUACUGUCACUUCGUUUCCUCGGCGGGCGGCUCGCCCUAACCGCGACCCCUGCGGGACGGGAGCGGCCCGCCAGAGGGACCCCUGAACUCUGUUUCUUAUAUGUACUUCUGUGAGUAUAACCAUAAAUAAGUCUA
rnacentral:misc_RNA from 1 species